GAUGAACGCUGGCGGCGUGCUUAACACAUGCAAGUCGAACGUGAGGGGUAGCAAUAUCCUUGAAAGUGGCGCACGGGUGAGUAAUACGUAGGUAACCUGCCCUGGAGUGGGGGAUAACAGCUAGAAAUGGCUGCUAAUACCGCAUGAGGCCGAGACACUGGGAAGUGUUUUGGCGAAAACUCUGGUGCUUCAGGAGGGGCCUGCGGCCGAUUAGCUAGUUGGCGGGGUAAGAGCCCACCAAGGCAGUGAUCGGUAGCUGGUCUGAGAGGACGAUCAGCCACACGGGAACUGAGACACGGUCCCGACUCCUACGGGGGGGCAGCAGUGAGGAAUAUUGGGCAAUGGGCGGAAGCCUGACCCAGCAACGCCGCGUGGAGGAAGACGGCCUUC
rnacentral:rRNA from 1 species